ensembl:misc_RNA Metazoa_SRP Metazoan signal recognition particle RNA
GCUGGGUGUAGUGGCACGCGCCUGUAAUCCCAGCUACUCAGGAGGCUGAGGCAGGAGAAUCACUUGAACCCGGGAGGUGGAGGUUGCAAUGAGCUGAGAUUGUGCCAUUGCACUCCAGCCUGGGUGACAGAGUGAGACUCUGCCUCAA